CAGUGGGGAAUUGACAUCCUCGGGCCAUUUCCUCUGGCCACCGGGCAAAGGAAGUUCCUGGUCGUCUCCAUCGACUACUUCACUAAGUGGGUGGAAGCUGAGCCCCUCGCCCGGAUCACCGAGCAGAAGAUGCGGGAUUUCGUUUGGAAGUCCAUCAUUUGCAGAUUUGGGCUCCCCCGCAUCCUUAUCUCUGACAACGGUCGCCAGUUCGACAACAUCCAUUUCAGAGAGUUCUGCUCCGAGCUUGGCAUUGACCACCGCUUCACCUCGGUCGCGCAUCCUCAGACAAACGGAGAAACCGAGGUAACAAAUCGUACUAUUUUGCAGGGUCUCAAAACCAGGCUCGACAAAUCCAAAGGACAAUGGGUCGAAGACCUAUACAAUGUCCUGUGGGCUUACCGGACUACGUUCCGCGUCCCCACCGGCGAGACUCCCUUCAACCUAANNNNNNNNNNNNNNNNNNNNCGGGUCGAAGACCUAUACAAUGUCCUGUGGGCUUAUCGGACUACGUUCCGCGUCCCCACCGGCGAGACUCCCUUCAACCUGACAUAUGGGACGGAGGCCGUCAUUCCACUAGAGAUUGGGCUCCCCUCUCCAAGAGUCGAGCACCACGAUGCUAGCUCCAACUCUUCGCAGCUCAGAGGCAACCUCGACCUGAUCGAGGAAACAAGGGAGGUCGCCCGAGUGCGUUUGGCGAGGUACCAACAAAAGACAGCUCAGUACUACAACGCCAGGGUCAAAGUCAAAUCUUUCAGACCAGGGGACCUUGUCCUAAGAAGAGCUGAAACCUCCCGACCAACUGAGCGAGGGAAGCUGGCCCCGAAUUGGGAAGGACCAUACAGAGUCACGCGCAUUCGCCGACCCGGAGCUUAUCAAUUGGAGUCUCUAGAUGGGACUCCCAUUCCGCGGAGCUGGAGCUCUGAAAAUCUCCGCGUGUACCACCAGUAGAACCCUAAGGGGGUCCCUCGAUUAUUCAACCAUUAAAUUUCAUUCUAUGAAUUUCACUCUAUG
rnacentral:lncRNA from 1 species